ensembl:lncRNA
CAUUUAAUUAUCUACUGAUGUUUUCAAUAUAUUGCAUAUUUAACAAGUGUGUAUUCAUACACUUGAAAAAUAUACAUGGAACAGAAAUAUUAGCAUCUUUAAAAUGUAUAUCAAUAAAGAAUUAUAAUAUCAAAAAAAAAUUAAAGAAAACACUGGAAUACAGAGGACUUCUUCAUGUGGUAUAGUUUUACAGAUAUUUUUGUUUGACUAUCACAGAAUCGCAGAAUUGCAAAAUUGUAGGCAUUGGAAGGGACCUCUGGAGAUCAUCUGGUCCAAUCCACUGCUAAAGCAGUUCCCUGCAGCAGGUCGCACAGGUAGGCAUCCAGACUGGUCUUGAAUGUCUCGAGAGCAGGAGACUCCACACCCUGUCUGGGCAUCCUGUUCCAGUGCACCGCCAUUGUCACAGUAAAGAAGCUCUUCCUGGUAUUAGUAUGGAACUUCCUGUGCUCCAGUUUCUGUCCAUUGCUCCUUGUUCUAUUGUUGCUUGCCACUGAAAUGAGUCCACCCCCAUCAACUUGACUCCCGCCCUUUUGAUAUUUAUAAACAGUUAUGCGGUGCCUUGCUUUUCACCCUUCUCCAGGAUGAAAAUCCCCAGGUCUCUCAGCCUUUUCUCAUACAGGAGGUGCUCCAGGCCCCUGAUCAUCUUUGUGGCCCUCCACUAGGCUCUGUCUAGAUGCCAGUGGUAUCAGUGGUUUUCAACUGAAAUACUGAUUUGAGUGCCCAGCUGGACAUGUUUCACCUUCAGAAAUUACAUCUGGACUUAGAAUCUAGUUGUCCGUAAGGUGCUGAAGCUGGGAAAACAGAAGUGGAAGCCCCCCCUACAGAUGCAGUUACUUCUGAAGCCCUUAGCCAGGAACUUCUGCUUGCCAUACAAACUUCUGUUAUGCCAUACAAACACAUUGUCAGCAACCGUGACAUCUGCAUACAGCCUUCAGCAUCCAUCAACAUCACAUAAAGAUGUUGUGUAAAAGGAGAAAACUAAGGAUGACAUAAGUAAGAAAUAUAGCUUAACAAAGUAGUUCUGCAGGAGAGAAACUCAGGUUUUCCUAUUUCCUUGGCAAUAGCUGUAGGCUGUAACGUUAACUACUUGGACAUCUGCAUCCUUAGAACAAUUUAUUCCUUUAGUAACCGGAGUAAACAGUGGAGUGCUCCUAGGAACCAGAAUAUAUCGCUACUCAACAAAAGCAAUUGAAUGCAAGGAAAGAACUCAACCUACUCUUAAAUUUAAUAGUCUUGAUUUUUAUGCCUGGGAGAGAAUUAAUUUUUUUCUCUCUUUACAUGAAACUGAACAGGACAUUUUUAAGGUCAGGAAUUUCCUGAGCUUUGCCCACUGUGGGUGUUUUGCGGUCUAUUAUACGCAUGCUUCCCCAGUGCUCCUGCAGGGACUAUUUUUUAUUGUUACUAACCUCUAAUGGGGCACCUAAUAAAGGUUAAAUUUUGCUUGCAGGUUGGAGUGCACUGGCACCAGUGACACGGAACCCACACCCCAGAUGUCGUUUCACGCUCAGAGGAUGUGGAGGCAGGAAGGGAAGGAAGGGUGCCAAAUGACCUAAAUGAAUGCUUCAAUUAGCAAGAGUCCUUGCCAGCCAUGCAUAACUGAAACAGGCUAAGCACAAGGAGUAGCUUUCUUUUACAACUUCAAACAGCUUUCUGAAACGCAGAAUAAACUGAGAGUGAAGGGCUUCAAAGCAGACCUGAAGGAAAUGAUGCAGCUAGAGUGCUGGGGAUCCACGUUGCUCAUUACUGCUUUUUGGGACAAGAGAUUACAAAAGAUACUGGUGUUUAAAAGUGGCAAAUGGCAGAGCUGCAGCAUGACUGGCCUCAACACUUGUGCAGGCUGUGGGAGUAUGACUCUGUUGUUGCUCAACUGCUUCACGUGAUGUCUGCAACCUCCAAAGAACAAAUCCAUGGACACAAAUAAAUAUUCCUUUUGGCAACGACAUAACAAGCCAAAGCCCGAGAAGCAAACAGUCAUGGUAUCUUCCACCUAGAGAGGAAUACACACACAGCCAGAGAAUAACUGGGGCUCUCACCCAGCCUCACUUCAUUGGGCAGAUGCAUCACAACUGUGUUGGCUUCUGCCCCAGAAGCUGGCCACACUCUCCUCCUUGUUUCAGAUCAGUGCCGGGCAGCCCAGGGUGCCUGAUGAAUCAAUUAAGAGUUACCUGCAUUAUUCUAGCACUUCUCUCUGUAGGCCACUAUUGCAACACAGCAAUUUAUUUCUUGCAUUGCUUUUUCAGCCACUUUGUCAGCAUAAGCAAGCACUGGAUAAGUCUUGUUUCUUUUUACUUCUGAAGGCAAGAAUACAACAUGGUAUCUCCUUGUCAGGAUAACAAAGCUAAGUUGCCAGCCAAUUGUACCUUUGGAGAAAUGUCUGAGUACUGCAGAUAUUGCAUAUUAGCUGGAAAUUGAAUCUGCAGCACACAAAUGAUUCUUCCAUAACAUCCUUCAGGGUGACAUCCUUCAGCUUCAUUUUCACAAACUGGGCACGUUUGUGCUUUCAGUUCCACCAGCUGUGUACUUGAACCCAACUCUGCUGCUUGUAUCAGAAUGGUCUUAUUUGUGUCACUUCCCCUGGAGAGGUCUGAGGUGCCCAUCUGGCUAACCCUCCAGCAAAAUGGAAGGAGACUUCUUCCACAUCACUGUUUUCAAAAGCAAACAAUUUCUGGCAAUGUUACCUUGAAUUACGUUAAACAAACACACUGCCAUUCAUACCUCAAUAUGGCUUAUUUUGCCUGAUCUUGUUAGUUAUUACAAUUGCCAUGAAAGAAAGAUCAUGAAAAUGCCUGGAAAAAUACCGCAGAAAAGGACUUAGUACAAGCCCUCCAAGAAUACCUGAGACCAAAUCUACAUUAGUUGCGACACUGUAAGUGCAGAAUGACUUUAGGGUGUCCUCAUGCGUAUGUACAGAAUGUAAACAGGAAAUGCUGGACUCUUUGGCAAUCUGCUGAGAAGGCUGUCCAGAUCUUGACAGCACUUGGAUACUUUCCAUAGAGAGUUUCGCUUGCUCAUCAGCAAGCAACGUCACCCUGAGAAGGCACAUACAGCCCAUCAGGCCCAGGCAAGGGAGGGAAGUGUGGUGAUACCCUGGUGAUGCAGGAGAUCUGGUAGUACCCACUCCUGACUCUGCCACAUGUUUUCUUUCUGUCCUGGGAUGGGUGAUAGAUGCAAUGUCUCUGUUCAGUAGUGAUGAGGAUAUCUGCCUUCCUGAGAGGAGGCUGGAAGAAGUCAUUACACCUUUCUGUUUUCCAUCACCCAUCACAUCCUUCCCUCCACAGGAGUGAAGUAGUCCAACUCCUCACUUUGCUGUAGGUAUUUGCUAUAACUUGAGAAGCGUAAAAGACUAGAGACAAAAUAUCGGAGUUCAAACCAGUGCAUUUUGGACUGCUCAAAGCAAUGUGGUAAUGCAGAGGCCUGAGCAGACUCAGGUGCCAGUGUUUGCUUCAGCAAGGAGGUGGAUCGCACCAUCUCCACCCCUGAAGUGAUGGUCUGGUACAGAAGACCUGUAACACUUAGAAAUUAUAAGCGUGCUACUCAGGAUAUAAUUAAUAUUAACUAUUCUUCAGUCUGAAUACGAGUGUAGUAAAAUAGUGCAACCAACACAGUAUACGAGCUCUCCUUUUAAUAAUGUGAUGGCAUAUAAACUCGUUGGUAGUUUCACUGCCAAAGGGACAAACAAUAAGGGUAGCUGCUUGUAGAAUAGACAAAUAUGUUGCCAAAGGACAAGGUAAGUGCAAGGGACUGCAAAUACACAGGACAUCCCGCCAGAUACAAAAGAAUGACUGGCAUGAUGAAUAAAUAAGUAGUAGGAGCAGAGAAGACCACCCCUUUUGGAAGGGAGGUGAAAGAGGUGAAACUUGAAGCUCAAAGAGGAAAGACAAGGAAGAGAGAGAGAGACAACUUUGGUGCUCAUCAAAGAGCUCUCAAAGGCUGAUCUCAUCAACAUCCAUGAAUAAGAAAUUGCAAGGACAGAAGCUGCCCACACUGCUACAUCAAAUCCAUGGUACUGUAUACUUACAGCCAAUUAGAAACAUGAGUGUUAAAGUCUAAGCUUUUUGUCUGUGUGGGAAUGAUGAUUAAUGAUGUGCAAGAAUGAACCAAUAGCAAAAGUAGUGCUGUUAAUGAAUUAGUUUGCUAUACUUUAAAACCAUCUCAUUUUGUCAGUCAUUUAAGCACUGCCCUCACAGUCAUCUUUAAUACCUUGCUUAUAUAUAUAUAUAUAUACAUAUAUGCAUAUGUAUAAUCACUUGCAGAACAGUUGGGAAACCUGGGAGAUAAACGGAACAGAAGUGAUAUGAGAAGAAGAGAAUACAGAAGAAUUAUGAGAAAUAUUUUUAUCUCAUUUUCUCAUCUACUACAGUAGCAACAUUAUUGAGAAAGGGGCCAAGGUGUCAAUAACGCCUCCUUUUACACCAGAAUGUAAGCCUUUCUUUCCAUUGGAAAGAACCUCUCAGUGUGAGCAAUGCAAUGCAAGUACUCUAAGCAGCUGUUUGUACAAUGACCUGCUCAUCAAGCUGAAGGGCCUACCAUUCAGGGAGCAGUGUGAUAAAAGUUCAUCAGAGUAAAGAUGGGUCUUCCUGAUUCAUUUGAAACACACUACCCUCUGUCUAGUUUGGUUUGGUUUAGUUUGCUUUGUUUGGAUUUGUGUUUUUUUCUAGCUUGUAGGGAUUUCGUUAUUGUUUGGCUUUUUUCUUGUGUACACAAUUCCAUUAAAUGAAUGCAUCAGCUCUAAGCAUGAAGGAAAGAAAAACUAAAGAAUGAUCUAAUUAGUAAACUUAAACUAAUUGCAAUAUGCAGCUUAGUUCAACACAUAUGUGGUAGUUCACAUGGAAAGACCCCUGAAAAAUUUAAGAAGGAAGGAAUGUGAACGAGUAUACAGAAAUGUAAUCCUCUAGAGGGAAAUUAUUCCAGAAGCCUAUAGCACUUAACAUAAAACAUUUCCCUCAGGAAAUUUUCCUUAAGAAAUUUUCAGCAUUUUCUGUCUUGAGUAUGAUUUAUUCUCUUCUAAACACUAUCAGAUGAGUUGAAAUUUGUUUGCUUUUUCUACUAAAUUGUACAGUGUUUUUCAUAAAGGGAAGAUUAUUCCAGGCUGUGUCUCUUUGUUCUGGUAGUAUCUUUGAACUGAUUGUGGACAUUCGAAAGAAUACUCACCUUUUUCAGAUAGCUGAGAAGCAUGGAUAUUAUAUAUUUGCCUAGAAAAUUUGAUAAGAUCUUUUAUCACUCUUUUAGCUAAUUGCACUGUAUGGGCAGCUUAGGUUUUCCAGUUCAUUUCAAUUUCCAGCAUUCUUGUUUAUGAUGAAGUGAAAAGUAAGACUUCCCUGGAGCACAAUUAAGAAACAGUGUUCCUGUACUACUUUUAUACCACACACAUUUGAAACACAUUCAUUCUAAAACAUACUGGAUAAAAUAAAGAGUAAACAAGAAAACAGCGCUGUCAUUUAGAUGGCAACAUUGGGCUGCCAGGUAGGACAGAACAUCAAAGAUCACAGUGCGUGCAAAAUAUACUGCUUUCCUUCAGCUCCUUCUCUUGUGAAGUGAUAGAGCCAAUAGUGGAUGCUUUCAAAACUGUGCCUACCCACCAACCUUUAUCACACUGUGAGGCUCUGUCUGUCUACCAUGAAACAACCAGGCGGUAACUCAGUCAGUAACAGCUACUUCAUAGUUAUCACUCAGUGUUUCAUCUAUUGAAAAAGUUAAAGGAUUGAGGGUGAAACUCUGUGUGUAGCCUGUCACCUGCACUGCAUGUGUCUUCAGUUUCUGACAUGAAAAGAGACUAACUACACCUAGUUCUCAGUAGCAGUACUUACAGAUUUCUUGUACCAUAUGCAAUUAAAAGCAUCAGUGGAUUCAGCAAAUAGUUUUAUUUUAUGUGUACAGAAAUUUCUCCCUCUUCCCCAAAGAGGUGAGUACCAUUAUUGUUUUCAGAAUAUGGAAUCAGGUGUAAAGUUCUGGAAGGGAAAAAUUAUUAUUUGUUAGUGUUGUUUUUUUCCCCUAUUUAUGAUGAAAGCAAUCUAGUGAAAUUGAUGCAGUUGCUGUAUUACUUACCAAAUCUGAGUAAAUUUGCCAAAAAAAAAAAAAAAAGUUGAAAACUGGAAUCUUAACAAGAUUAGUCAUUACACCAGACAAUUCUGUACUGAGAUUUAGGGACAAAUCUUCCUUACUCAUUGGAAAAUCAUUAGGCAUUACCUCCAGCGUAAUUCAUCUAAUUAAUUGAAUAAACACUCCAAGAUCUCUUUAUAAAUAACAAGGACUUAAUAUACUCAACAGAGUGUAGGCCAUGGGUCAUCUUACCCUGCAAUAAAUGUCUAACAAAUAUCUAUGUAACAUAAGUCAAAGAAGUCCAAAAUUUGCCCUUUUCUCUCCUUGCUUGUAAACACCCAAGGCCAAAUGAGAUGAGUCUUGCCUUCCUGGAAUCAAGAAAACUCAGUCAUUUCCAUGAAUUCUGUGAACUGAUUUAAAGUUUUUCUCAUUAAGUUCUUAUGAAGGAGGAAAAAAAAAUGUGACUCUGAGGUAGAACAGCCUAAAAGGCUGUAGGAGAGGCUAUAGAAUCAACUCAGGCAUACUGUUGUAUGCAGUGAAUGAGCACUGAACAAUACAGUUUGGGAACUUAAAACAAUUAAUCUUUGUUUAAGUACUGAGCUAUGUUCUCAGAACAAAAGACUCUUAAGGAACUUAUUCAGAUCUCUGUAGAGUGCCACCUGAAGACACACAGAAAUGGGACCUUACUCUGAGCCAACAUAUGUUUCUUCUCCAAGAUGCCAUGCCUGCAAAUUUCUAAAUUUUGUGUCAGCCUUGUGCUCAAGGUUCCCUGGAAUGCACCUCCAGCACUGGUGGGAUGGAAGCAUGUGCAGUGGUGUUGCAGGACUCCAGCUAACCUCAUUCACAUUUGCUAAGACAUUUGCAAUAAACACAUUUAUUUUAAUAAUGGGUGUUGAAGUACUCUUGCUUUUUAAUUCUGACUUUUAAUAAAAUAACUUCCACGUGUGUAGGGAAGAAGAGGAAGAAGAAAACAACCUGAAAUCUUUAAAGCUCUUCUUUUUAGGCUCUGCUAAUUCCAUCACUCACAAUUUGUAUUCACAGUAAAUCUUCCUUUCGGAACCUUGUUUCUCUCUUGUAGUGUGCAUUAUCAAAGCUUAAAUAUCUCUCAUACUACUUCUAACAAAAUUGUUUAAUGAAUAACAUGUAUUUGUGUAUUUUAAGAUAAUUUUAUGGAGCCAGAACUGUCAUCACACUCCUUGCAGUCCCACUCACAAUUAUGCAUGUGGCCCAUACCUGAGAAAUUUUGGCAAUUUUAGUCUCAUUUUCUCUACCACUUGACAGAGUCCCCGUAAAAUCUAGCUUUGAAAAAAAAAACAUGCCAUCUCUGCCCUUUUCAUAAAGUUGCUAUUUAUAAAUGAAAUAGAAGAAAAAAAGAAAGGAAAGCUCCUGGAUGAACAAUUCAAUGGGAAGGAAACAGAAGGGAGAAAAUUUAACCAAGUGUUCCAGGAAGCCUACUGAGCCAGGAAGAAUACUGACAUGGUGUUUUAUAUUAUGAUUGAGCAGUAGUUGGGAGAAUAGUGACUCAGAGGCAUUUGAACAUGAGUAUUAUUAUCACUGCAGUUUUCCUAUGAGAACAACCAAUUGGUUGCCCAAUUUCAGCUCCUGAAAAGGCCUUGAAAAUCAGUUUCUCAACUGAUUAAAAUCCUAGUCUAUAAGACAGAGAUCUAUUGGUAAAUUGUAGCUUAAAAACAUAAUGUCUCAAUUACUUCUGAGCAGACCUUCACAGAGAAUUAAAUGAGAGAGUUGUAUUCAAAGUGGCCAAGGUGUCAGGUAUUCUAGAGACAGCUUAUGUCUCUCCAUAAUAAAUGGCUCCAAGAUGGUUCCUAAUACAUACUUUUUUAUGUUUUUGUUUGUUUAUUUAGAGCAGUAAUUCUUCAUGUUAGUAUUGGCUAGAUGAUUAGAUCACUUGUUAGUGUAAGUUAGAUACAGCAGUGCCAAUAACACUUUAAUCCCUAGCUAUUGCAGGUUUCAGAGUCAUCCACUUCUUGCUGUUAAAAAUCAAAAUCUUACAUGGUCAUAUUUCUGCAUACACAGACAAGUCUGAAAAUAUUUUAUGAGUGGGUACCAGGCACUUGGCUAUAAGCGACUGUGAAAGCAGGUUGCACAAUAACAUGGAUAUAUGCAGGGCACAGCACAGCAAUGCCCUGUCUCCCAGAGCGUAUUAACAGUUAGACUGCUGUUUGCUCCUUAUGCUGAAUGCUACUUCUAUGGCAGCUUCCCUCCCAGCUGCCCAGCACAUAGUGGUUAAUGAGGGUACAUAAAUAUGUCUGGUGGAUGUGAGGAUACAUCCACUUCAGCUCCAGCAUGUGAAUACAGGUUCUUGCAAUUGUAUGUCAGAACUGGGCAUAACACAUUAUUUCCAUGUGCCCUGGGGUCCAAUGGCAUUUUCAUUCACAGUCAAAAGAAUGGGAUUCCCUCUGCUCAGAUCUCAAGCUUGAAAAUUAUUACAGCUUUGUCAGUGUCAGAAUCUGAGCUGAGUCAGAAGCACAUGCUUAGACAAUCUGACCAAUUUGCUCUUAGCAUUCUUAUGAUGUUGACUGUGCUCCUGCUAGAACAGAGCAGCACACGUUUUUACCGUAUGUAAUAAAAUGGCUAUAUACAGACCACACUGCAGAAAGAACAAAAUGCUGGCAUCACUCUCACUUGUAGAUAGUGAGUGCCAGUAAAGACAAAUUUGGUUGCAGUCAUGCCAAGAACCACCCUUAGUAUGCUUAAAAGUCAGAAAAAUCUGGUGUUUCUCCUACUCCAAGCUAAGAGGAAUCACAAUACAAGAAGGAAGCCAUUAGAGAUUUAAUUCUCUUAAUUUGACAUUAAUCCUCCAUUAGCCAUUAGAAGGAACUUUCUCUGAGCCUGCUCCAGGAUCUUGUUUAUUUUCUGCUAUGUUGCCAGUAGCAGUGUCCAUGCAUUGGCAAGCUUGCAUUCGUGGUUGGAUGAAUGGAGGGACAGUGGAGGAUCAUCCAAACAGGAAAAUUCUCUUGUUAGUACCUAACUCAAAAGGUGGUCAUGGUUCCGGUGUUCAUGGUUCCAACUCUCAGCAGUCAGCAGACUGCUGUCAGUUUGCAUACUCCCUGAUCCCUUGUGUCAUAACACUGGUCAUCUUCUCACUUCUGUAGGCACUGUGUGAGCUAGUGUGAAACAAAGCAGCAGUGAUCUCCCCAUACUUACAGAGAAUGUGCUUACAUUGCAAAAUGUAGUCCAGAACAGAUAUACUCAGUGGAAUAAUUUACUCAGCUGGAGAUUCAGGGUAAAUAAUUUAUAGUGUUUCUGGCAUGGUAUAAUGCGAUGAUGAAUUACACAGAAAAUCAUUUGGGCAAAAUCAUACCUGAAAUAUAUGAUGGACUGAGGAACUAAGAGCACAUCUCUAGCACCCUAACUGCAAAUCCGUCCUCAUAGCUGUCCUUAACCUCAAAUUUAUUGUUUCUUGUCCAAAAAAAUGAUGGUUGUUGAGUACCAGUGGUAACCAGUGAGGCAAUUAGGUGUUACUUAAAAAAAAAACUGUUAACUUUCCUCACAGGUGUCAGAAAGAAAUUUGCCAUUUAUUGCAAAAGGGAAAAAAAAUCAUGUCAAAAAUCUUUGAUUCCGGCAUAUGUAGCCAAAAAUAGACCUGCCAGGACCACCCAAAUGGUUAUAACAGAAAUUUUCUGCCUCAGAAAAUACCAGAGUUAGACAAAAGGGAGAUGGUUGUGCCGAAUAAAUGGGCAGCUCAGAUAUCCAUGACAGUUGGAUUGGAUAUUGGUAAAAACAAUACACAGUUUAAGAUGCUAUGGGAAAUUUUGGAAGUGUGGAAUUUGAUGAAUAAUUUCUUAACAUAAUGGUGAUUCCCUGCCUGUAACAGGGGCAAUGAUCUUAAAGGUCUCCUCCAACCCAAACCAUUCUAUGAUUUUCCAGCCACUAGAAAAAAACAUCAAAUAUUUAGCAUAUUUGGUUAAAUUUUUCAUUAAAAAAAUAUAUUAAUAUUUAAAAUGAGUAAUAUCUUUAAAAUCCCUCUACAACCUGUUUAAAAAUAGGUGUGUAGAAAAUCUGCUGCUAAAGUGGAAGAAAUAAUGCCAUGUCUGAGAUGAAUUUCACAUACUAAUCUGUUUUCAGGUUGCUUUGGGGAGAAACUGUGAAUGCCUAAAGCUAUGUUAAAAGUGCAGCCUCUGGCACACAUCCACAUAUUGAUGUCUGAGAAAGAAAUGACAUGUUAAAUUAUUUUUGGGAUUAGGUAAAACUGAAGCCCUGUGUGAGGAUGCUAAUAAAGGACAGAAGGUUUUAAAAUAAAAGUUACAUAAAGAUUAAUGAUGGAGAACUGCACUAGUCUGUUGCAGUAACAGAUGCCAUCACAUCUCACCUUGAGACUCAAUAAAGAAAGCAUUAAUGAUAUCUGUGGUGAACCCACAGUAUAGAACUAGCAGAUAGACCUCAUCUCUACUCAUUUCUUUGAAGAUAAUCCCCAUUUCCUUAAAGAAAAUUACACGUAAGAAAAACAUCAUAACAAAGAAAAAAAUAAGAAAAAGAGGAAAAUAAACAGUGAUGGCAUAGGAAAUACUGCAAGCAGCCUGUAAUACUGACAUCCAGCUGUGCAGAUGUAUGUGCACAAAGUAUAACGAACUCCUGCAUUUACACCACUUCUGAAUCUGACUCAAGCUGAAAAUGUGCUUUUUAUAUUCAUGUCUGCAAGUGGUUAGAGAGAACAAUAUUUUCUAAUUGAGGUAACAUUGUGUAUUCAUGCUCAUCCUAGCUGAGUUUUGUUUUUUUGUGGGUUUAUUUUUUAUUUGUUUUCCAUAGACAAUGCAAUGGAAGAGUAGUAUACAAGGUGGUAUAAAGAAUGUAAAGAGCUCUGAACAAUUGAAAGCAUACUGUUUUCCUUUUUCACAGAAGGCACUGAAAGGACCCACAGUUCCGCUGUUUGUCCUUGGACACAUAUGCGCAAUUAUUUAAAUAUUCUGUGAAGCAUUCAGGUGUCCCCUCAAUUUUACAAUUUAGCUGCAUUUAUUUUCUCAUAAUCUUAUUGGCUGCCAAUUUUGUUUCUAUUUCAUUUUUUUAUCCACUAUUUUAAAUCCAAAGCUCUGGCAUAUCUGUAUAUUUCUGAUUUGCUGGCAGUUCUGAAAAAGUAAAAAAAAAAAAUUGCUUUCAGUUGGACCAGAAACAAAAUUCAACAUUAUUAAGGAAAAGACUUUCUGAAUACAUUUGGAUUGAACAAACUGUUUCAUUUUCCUGUUGAUAGUUUGAAAACUGACUUUCCCUUUAAAUCAAAUUAAAAGGCAUUUUGAAAUAAACAAGUAUCUCUCUAGAUGUCUAAAAUUCUGCAUUGCCCCUGUUCAUUAAAAUCCUUUUUUCUAGUAUCACUGCAGUAUUUGCUACAUGAGGUGGAACUAAUUUUGCUUUAGCAACUCACCUGCUUUGUGAUCCUGGAAAUGCAGGGACUGGGGAAAGAGCUCUUUGAGAAGGAACUCUUCCCUUUGAGAAAGGAAGAGGGAGAGCUGCAUGCUCAAGAAGGCUUUGAUUUGACAAGUCACUUGGC